rnacentral:tRNA from 1 species
GCCUUCGUGGUGUAAUGGUCUCCGUGCUCGACGCGUAACCGAGAGGUCCGUGGUUCGAUUCCCGGCGAAGGCG